rnacentral:rRNA from 1 species
GACAGAGGUGCCGAGCGUUAGGCGGAAUCACUGGGCUUAAAGCGUGUGUAGGCGGAUCUGUAAGUACCUUGUGAAAUCCCACGGCUCAACCGUGGAACUGCUUGGUAUACUGCGGGUCUUGAGCCACCUAGGGGCAAGUGGAACAAACGGUGGAGCGGUGAAAUGCGUAGAUAUCGGAAGGAACGCCGGUGGCGAAAGCGGCGUGCUGGACCCUUUCUGACGCUG